rnacentral:rRNA from 1 species
CAGUCGCCGCGGUAAUACGUAGGGUGCAAGCGUUAAUCGGAAUUACUGGGUGUAAAGCGUGCGCAGGCGGUUCGCUAAGACAGAUGUGAAAUCCCCGGGCUUAACCUGGGAAUUGCAUUGGAUACUGGCGAGCUAGAGUGCGGUAGAGGGUAGUGGAAUUCCCGGUGUAGCAGUGAAAUGCGUAGAGAUCGGGAGGAACAUCUGUGGCGAAGGCGACUGCCUGGACCAGCACUGACACUGAGGCACGAAAGCGUGGGGAGCAAACAGGAUUAGAUACCCCCGUAGUCCCUGUCUCUUUUAC